ACAGCAACCUACAUCGAUAUGGAG
rnacentral:siRNA from 1 species